rnacentral:lncRNA from 1 species
UCCAUCCCUCCCAUUCAGGUUCUAUGAGCGUGCGCCUUCCUCUCAGUGAUGCGUGGUCAUAUUUGAAAAUCCAAAUUAGUUGGAUAUAAGAGAGGUAUAAGAGAGGUAAUAGCAUCAUAACCGAGCAUUACUAAUACAUUCAAUGAUUAUUCCCGCAGAUUCCAGCACCAUUGGUAACAUCAGACCCCAUUGGAUUCACAUCCAAUCUAUUAACAUAGUAGAAGCACAAGAUAACCUGGAUAAUGCCUAAUAACUCUGGUUCCUGAGACAGUAGUUGGCGAACCUGAAGGCAAAAGGUCAGCGUGCUAGGACAGACAGACAGCAGUAUGGUUAAAUAUGGCUGCGUCCAUCGACUGCCCGAAAAGCCAUGCUUUUAUAGCAGACAGACGAGGGCGUUUAAAAACCACAGACACCAAUUGGAGGAAAGCUACCGCAAUAACAACCCCCGGUCAAAGACCCCCCUUGAAAGCCGCGAGCUACUCAUUCUUUUCCUAGAGGUGUCCUUGGUUCUCAUGCUGUUUCUCCUGCUCCCUCCACAGCUGCUGCUCUGUGAAGCCCUUCUCUUGAUGCAUGGCUGCUGCUCUGUAAAAUUCUUCUGGUAUUACAACGGCCCCCCAGAUUCCCACCCCACCAGUAGCAGAGUACAGCCAUUUCAUUGCCCACCCCAAAAAGGUCCCACCGCCAAUUCCCACGAAUUCCCACCCCAAACUCCCGCCCCCCAACCACUCCCCCACCCCAAAAAUUCCCCACCCCCAAUUCCCACCCACCAGCCACCCCCAAUUCCCACCCUAAUAUUGGCCACCCCAAGAAUUCCCACCCCUUCCCCCCCCAACCAUUUCCCACCCCCCACCCAGCAUUUCCCAGCCCGGAGCUUUGACAGUGCAACGCUUUGUCGGUCCAUCAGCUUCAGAGCCCCGCAGUGCCCCAGUCCAANNNNNNNNNNNNNNNNNNNNAGCUUUGACAGUGCAACGCUUUGUCGGUCCAUCAGCUUCAGAGCCCCGCAGUGCCCCAGUCCAAGAUGCCAUUUUGCGGACAGCCCAGUUUGGGAGGGGUAGGGCUGGGGCUGGUGCUGGUGCCCCUGGAACACUGCCGCUGCUCUCUGGGUGUGGUGGGGGCCGGCCAGGAGCCCAGGGCUACAGGGAAGCGCCUUGGUCGGUUACGGCCACGUCUCCUGCUCCACCAAGUGGGCCGGUUUCCUGGUCCGCUCCUGCUGGAGCCGCUGUUGGGGUGUGAUGGGCACCGAGUCCUCCUGCUGGCCGCCGUGCUGACACAGGCAGCUCUGCCUAGCGCCAGUGUUUGUGACCUGGAACAUGCUGGUAGCAUGGUGGCUUCCUGGUUGUGGCGGGGACACUGCCAGUGUGCUGCUUGUGCCCGCUGCUUUUGCCUCUUGUGGUGGUGCAGGUGGGUUCUGGGCACUAGGCCGUUUGACUGCUGUCCCCGUGGUGCUUGUCUGCCAGCUGGCAGGAGAUGCAGUCGGGUGGCAGUGCCAGGCAGCUGAGCAGCACUCGGGGCUGCCUCUGCCGUGCCUCUUCCAUCAGAUGUGCGGUGCGGGGCGACGGAGGUGCGGGGGCAGCCAGGGGGGUCGGCUCAGGCAGCUCAGGCGAUGCUGGCUGCCGCCAGAGCGGGUUUGCGAGGAGCCCUGAUUCAGGAUCGGGCUCUUUGCUGAGCUCCCUGCUGGCCCCUGAGGAAUCAGGGGUCUCUGUGUUGGAAGAAGAGCCCAGGCUGCUGGAGACAUCUGGCCUCAUGGCAGCAAUGCACUGCAUCUGCCCUUCCCUUUUGCAGCUGUCCAGUUCUGCCAGCAGCUUGUCAGCAUGAUUUUCCUCUUGCGCGUUCUCAGUGUCUUUGUUCCCUCUGUCUUUGUGACUGCAGGCAGGCCCUGGUUGUGCUGGGGGACCUCCAGAGCACUCGUCACUUCUGAAAAAGCAAGAACAUCCCCGAGACCAGAAGAAUGAUGGCAUCCUUCCCACACCUGCUGGGUGCAGACAGCCACCCGUCAAUCACCUCUGUAAGCCACAAACUCACCAAGAAUCCAGGUGAGGAAACUGUCCAUUUCCA